rnacentral:lncRNA from 1 species
GGCGAGCGGCCGGAGCCUGCGGCUGCAGUUCGCCGUCCCUCCGAGCCGCGGCUGGGGGCACACUCCGCCCGCGUUUGGCGAGCGCGGCUCCCGAGCGGGGCAAGGCGGAGGCAGCCGAGGAGGAGGUGAGGACACUGCCGGGGGUGGGAUGGGGUGGGAUGGGAUGGGGGACCCGCAGCAGGACAGCCCGAGCUGCGGGAGCCGCGCUGAGCGGGUGCGGGAGGCAGCGAAGCCACUCGCCCCGGUCGGUGGCUCCUGGCCCCGGUUUGUGGCCACCAGCGCCACCGCGGUGAGGGUCUCCGAGGGGUGCGUGCUGCUACGUGGUGCCUUGAAUGUGGGCUACUCGGCAGCAUCCCGCUUCCCUCGGAUCAAACUCCCUGCUCCUUGACGAAUUUCCGGAGUGUUAGAGCUCCUCGGGACUCUGGAAACCCAGUGCGAGUCCUUCAGAAGGCUGGGAUUGGUUAUUAGGAUUCCAAAGGAGUUAGCAGGCUCCUCUGAAAAUACCUGGGGAAGAAAAAGAUUUUACUCAGCUUCCCGGCAGAAAAUGUGUGGUUCCCGAGUCUACGCUGAGGAUUGGAUUUGAGAGGAUAUUGAGAUACGCGGGAUUUACAUGGUCAUCUUCACAUGAAAGGGCAUGGGCUUCUCCCUGCCUGCAGCACCACGAGGAUCCUGCUGAGCGAGCACAGGGGGAGCACAAGGGAGCAGCUCUGGGAUGAUGCCCUGGGUGCUUCUGCAUGGCUGUGGAAUAAGGUCCAGCUGACAAGCAAGCCUGGGGAGCUGUGGAAGAAAAGUGCCCAGAGGAGAACAAGGAAUACAGUGCAGUCAGCUGGAGGUUUCAUUGGAAGGCACACACACACCCAGGGUUUAAAGGAUGAAGGGAACGUAAUUCAGCAGAUUCCUUUGGAGCAGCACUUGUUCUCCUGGCUGACAGAGGGACCAGAAAAAAUGGUAAGAAAACUCCUUUUAACUGCAAAGCUUGUCUUCAAUUCUCUCCCUCCCUAUUUUGUUUGGUUU